AGAGCAGCAUGUAGCAGGCCCCCGUGGAGGAUUAACACAGUGGCUCAACACCGGGAAGGAACUGGCUCUUGGAGUCCGGACAUCUGAAACUUGAUCUAGAGAACACAUGCAAAUUUGUUACAUGGGAAUAUUGUGUAGUGCUGAGGUCUGGAGUAUGGAUUCCAUCACCCAGAAUUAACAAGCCAACAUCAGUCUCCAGAGUGAAUCCAAGGAGAGGACCCAAGACAUUCAUGUUCUGUGAUGUGGUGACAUGUUACCUGUCAUCUCUGAUGCACAACUCCUAAAGUGUUUGCAUCUGGGGCAGUUGUACAGAUUGCAGAAGCUAAUACUCAAGAUGUUCUCCAAGGCCAACUACUCAUCAGUUUAUUCAUGUUUCUGGGAUUGGAUUCAUGAACUCAUCCUUUGAACUAUUUCAACAAGCUUUUUCAUGUAACUAAUCUGCGGAAGGUAGAAAGGGUAAAACUGUUGGGUGCUAAAAUGACAACUGGUUCAAGGUACAACGGCGAAUAUUUUUAUUUCUGCAACUUUUCUUAGAGGUUGGAAACUGGACUAGGCAGGAAGAUUCCGUUUUGUAAGAUUAGUCUCCAGUUUUCAUCAAGCAGUUUAGUGGGGUAUUUUAGACCCAGUUCCCUCUCCACAGUCCCCAAAGUUCUUCUGUUAACUUUAAAUCAGCAAAGAGAGAGAUCUCUGCCAAGCAUCAACUGCAAGAGCAUGUGGGUCAAAGUUACCAGCAGACACUCAAAGCACAUUCACUUUACUUCAACACUGCUUUAUAAAUUAUCUUAGAGAUGUUGUCAAGGUUGGUAUCAGAGGUGAGUGGUCAUGACUUCACGAUUUCUCAUCUUUCUGAAUGCACAGCGGCUGGGAGGUGGUGGCUCAUGCCUGUAAUCCCAGCACUUUGGGAGGCCGAGGUGGGCAGAUU
rnacentral:lncRNA from 1 species